UACGUAGGUGGCAAGCGUUGUCCGGAUUUACUGGGCGUAAAGAGCGCGCAGGCGGUCGUGCAAGUCGCGUGUGAAAGCCCCCGGCUCAACUGGGGAGGGUCACGCGAUACUGCUCGACUCGAAGGCAGGAGAGGGAAGUGGAAUUCCCGGUGUAGCAGUGAAAUGCGUAGAUAUCGGGAGGAACAUCCGUGGCGAAGGCGGCUACCUGGACCAGCACUGACACUGAGGCACGAAAGCGUGGGGAGCAAACAGG
rnacentral:rRNA from 1 species